rnacentral:tRNA from 3 species
GGGGUCUUAGCUCAGCUGGGAGAGCAUCUGCCUUACAAGCAGAGGGUCAUAGGUUCGAGCCCUAUAGGCCCCAC